rnacentral:tRNA from 1 species
UGGCUCAAUAGUUAGAGCAUUGGACUUCUAAUCAAACGGUUCCGAGUUCGAGCCUCGG